GUGAGCAAUUAUUUCCUGGUGAGACCUUCCUGAAAACCUGCAAAAACUUGAAAAACUACUAGUGGUCGAGUGUAUGGGGGUGACCUGACUUCAGGUGGUUCUGAAUGACAAAUGGU
ensembl:ncRNA R04F11.12 ncRNA